rnacentral:tRNA from 1 species
GCCUCCGUGGCCUAAUGGAUAGGCAUCGGUUUCCUAAACCGGGGAUUGUGGGUUCGAGUCCCACCGGAGGUG